rnacentral:rRNA from 1 species
AGUGAAUAGAUACCCGGGUAGUCCUAGCCGUAAACGGUACUCGCUAGGUGUCGGCCACGGUGCGACCGUUGUCGGUGCCGUAGGGAAAGCCGUGAAGCGAGCCACCUGGGAAGUACGGCCGCAAGGCUGAAACUUAAAGGAAUUGGCGGGGGAGCACCACAACGGGUGGAGCUUGCGGUUUAAUUGGAUUCAACGCCGGAAAUCUUACCGGGACCGACAGCAACAUGAAGGCCAGGCUGAAGACUUUGCCGGAUUAGCUGAGAGGUGGUGCAUGGCCGUCGUCAGUUCGUACUGUGAAAGCAUCCUGUUAAGUCAGGCAACGAGCGAGACCCACGCCCACAGUUGCCAGCGUACUCUCCGGAGUGACGGGUACACUGUGGGGACCGCCGCUGCUAAAGCGGAGGAAGGAAUGGGCAACGGUAGGUCAGUAUGCCCCGAAUAUCCCGGGGCUACACGCGAGCUACAAUGGUUGGUACAAUGGGUAUCUACCCGAAGGGGAUGGAAAUCUCCUAAAGCCAAUCUUAGUUCGGAUUGAGGGCUGCAACUCGCCCUC